AAGAAUGGUUGUCAGACCUCAGAAGAACUAAAACACUGGUCUGGCGUUCGCUUUACUGCUGACGCACUACCGGACGCGGACCUUUUCCCGGGGUGUGAUUGUGCGCAUACAGCCUUGCUCUGUAGGCCUCCCGGCGAAUCCAGUGACUAAUCAUCAGCGAGUGGAUCAAAGCCUGGAUUAAACAUGUGAACAUGGCUCUCUGUAUCUCCUGCAUUGCAAAGGCCCGCGCUCACUUCUGGAACUUUCCUUUGGCUUGGACCAAAGUUCAGGUCACUGCAUGGAGUCUGGCAGAGGCCAUGGUGCACGGCUCUGGCUGUGCACAGGUCAUUUCGAUGCACCCUCUCGCUCCCUCUCUCAUCACUUCAGAGAAGUCUUUGGAAAUAGUUUUCCUGGGCACAAAAACAGGGUGAAGGACUUGCAGCCUCCAUUGGAUCUUAUGGCACGGUGGUUCAUUUUGACCCUACUUGAGGGUCCUUCAGACCUCAAUGUUUUCAAUUAAAUUGGAAAACUACUCUGGGUGCCUAAGAGACCAUCCAGGUCUGAACCUCAGUUAUAGAGAAGGAGGCUGUUGGGAG
rnacentral:lncRNA from 1 species